rnacentral:lncRNA from 10 species
GGGGAGGGCAGGGGUCCUGGGAACACUUAGUCCCUUAUCACUGAUCAAAGCCAGGAGGUGCCGCCGACAGGCGAGGUGUGGCCCCACCUGGCUCUCAUUAGGCGCCCGCAGCCUUGUUCCUGCCGGCUCUGCUCUGGCUCACAGGCGCCCCAAGACCAGCUGCCCUGUGGCGGCCCGGCCAUCACACCUGGCAGAGGGACUCACAGGCCACACACCAGGCACCAGCGAGUGGACUCCGCAGCCCUGCACAUGGCCACAUGCCCAGUCCCGGCUGCCUCUCCCUGCAAACCCGGCAUUGGUGGAAGCUGAAGGCAAAGAGAUUGAUCCUGCAGCAACCCAAGGGCCCGGUAUCCCCAGGGCACUGUUCCCAGGGUGCGGCAGGAACCUGCGAGGAGGGGGAGGGGUGUCUUCUGUCCACAGCGCAUUCUUCCGGACAUUCUCCAGGAGGCCUUGCUGCACCAGAUAGGAUUUUGGCUGCAAGCAACAGAAAGCGGUUCCGAUUAACUUAGGCAAAAAGGAGUUUCCUGCAAGCUGCUGGGGCACCGUACCCGCCUAAAGGAAAGCCGUGCUGCCAGGCCUUGGGAAGGAGACUCAGCGCAGCACUAGCAGCCCCCCUCCCCGGCCCACUGGAGGGCCAAGUCUCUGGGGGGAGAACAUGACAGGCGUGGAGGGCUAGAGAUGCCCCCCUGAGUCCUCUCCUGCCUCUUCCUGUGAAGAAGGCCUCCCGCUGGCUGCACGUUUCCUCACUGUUUGCCGGGACUGGCUGUGCAAUUCCCCGCUGCGCCCGUCCCCAGCGCUCCACACAGGAGCUCCGCGAAUGCUGGCUUGUUAACCGGAUAGCUUGACACUCUAAUCAGUACGAAUUCACCUUCUCAGCUGAGAGGAGGAUACUAUGAGAAGGCAGCUGUCUGCAACCUGGAAGAAGGUCCUCACCAGAGCCCAGCCAUGCUGGCACCUCAGUCUCAGACUUCCAGCCUCCAGAACUGUGACAAAUAAGUGUCUGCUGGUUCUAAACCACCCAGUCUGUAGGACUUUGUUAUAGCAGGUGAGCUGACACCUUUGCAAGAACUGGG